CCUAAUCACAAUUUCCUGCCAAUUGAGUAUAAAUGGUAUUAUUUCAUAGCUUAUCAGAUUUUGCUGCCUUCCUCCUCAAAAGUCGAUGAAUUUACGCUACAAUAGGGAUUUGUGAAAGGGAAGUUGCAGCACAGAGUUGGCUACAGAACAGCACCACAGGAGCUGGCACUGAGAUCCAGUUUUCUUGCUGAAGGAUGACUUCGCAGGGUGUUUGCUGGCAAUUGGGCUUGAACCUCGGCUUUCUACUAGAAGAUGAUCUCAGGAAGGCGCUGUGUGAAAUACAAGUGAAGCAAAACUCAUGUGAGACUGACGUGGACGAUGAAGACGCGGGCGCCUGAGCAGCAGGUGGGAUUAGAGUCUUUAUAUAAAGGACUCCCUGGAAAGAAGAGAUCUUGUAUUUCCUGGCUAAAUAAAGGAUCAACAGAUAAAUAAAAAUAUGCUCCUCUGGAGUGUCUUUGUUUUUUGGUAAA